CAACUGCCGAAGACAGUAGGUGCUGUAAAGCGUAAGGAUGAAAACGCCUGCCGAGGAAAGUUAGAUUUACUACGUAUGUAUGAAUUUAUCAAGCCUCUGUGUCUUCGGACCCGGAGGUUUUUUAAU
rnacentral:sRNA from 1 species